GGGCGGCCGAUGUCCGAUUAGCUAGUUGGUGGGGUAAGGGCCUACCAAGGCGACGAUCGGUAGCUGGUCUGAGAGGAUGAUCAGCCACACUGGGACUGAGACACGGCCCAGACUCCUACGGGAGGCAGCAGUGGGGAAUUUUGGACAAUGGGCGAAAGCCUGAUCCAGCCAUGCCGCGUGAGUGAAGAAGGCCUUCGGGUUGUAAAGCUCUUUUGGUUGGGAAGAAAGCCUGCCCUUGAAUAGGGGGUGGGGUUGACGGUACCGACAGAAUAAGCACCGGCUAACUACGUGCCAGCAGCCGCGGUAAUACGUAGGGUGCGAGCGUUAAUCGGGAUUACUGGGCGUAAAGGGUGCGUAGGCGGUCUUUCAAGUCCGUUGUGAAAGCCCCGGGCUUAACCUGGGAAUGGCAGUGGAAACUAGGGGACUUGAAUCCGGCAGAGGGGGGUGGAAUUCCACGUGUAGCAGUGAAAUGCGUAGAGAUGUGGAGG
rnacentral:rRNA from 1 species